CACCUUGGCUCGGUGUAGAACAAGGCACGUCUUUACAGGCACCGCCUGAAAUAUCUGAAGUCAACUUAGUUGUUAAUUAGGUCGCUUUCGCGGGGAGCAGCCGGCAGAGGGAGAUGGGAUGCACCAAUCCUGGAGACUCCGCUCAUGUUUCAAGAUCAGAAAAUGUAAGAAAAAUCCCAUCAUCAUAAUGCAGAAAUAAAAACGUGGUCAUGUUUAGUAGAUUAUGACCCAGAAUUAAGAAUGUGAACAGCAUGGCUGCAGAGAGGAAUUUUAAGUGAUGUAUGUGAAACUGCCAAAAUGAGAAUUGCAGCUGAAGGAAGUGAGCCAGCAGUCUAACUACAAUCAAUAUCCAGCUUAAGUAAACAAUUACAGUCUGCUAGAGUUGGAAGAAAAUCCACACAGCCUGACAGGGUACCUGCAGUGUCUUCAGUUCUUUCAGAUCUGCGUGAGUUUGUCUUCCUCAGAUCAUCUCAGGUGAUGCCAGGUUGAAACAUUGACCACUUCCACCUUCUUCAAGGGUCAUCCCAGCAUCUCCAGAUAAAUUUGGAGGCAAAUAAAAUGAGGAACUGCAGAGCUCAGCUUCAGCAUGAGGAAGAAUAAAUCACAAGAUGUGGAAAAAAAAGAAAGUUCCAUGACUAAAGAUUUUCAAACAGUACAAUUUUACUUUAAUAUCAUAUCCUACAAGUUCUUCAGUCACAUGAGAACCUGAAGCAGAAACAGGGAAAAGAAGAAAGGAUUCUUGACCCCUCUAUGGACCCAGUGGGAUUAGUUUCUGGCCUGAGCUGCAAUGCAUGGGGAGGCUGAGAGGAGAAGCCGCUGGCAGAGGUGCCCUCAGGACCCCACGGGCUGACCCAGAGAAGGUGAGCUCAGCUACAUUGAACAGGGGAAAGGGGCUGCUCAGGAUGAACAGCCUGAGCAAGGCUUGGACUGUAUUUGGCAGCCCACUGUGCUGCUGAUCUUGCAGGGGCUAGGUGAGGUCCUUAUCCAUAACUGCAGUCUAGAAAUGCAUUUUUUAAUUUUAGUUUUUAUUUUGUGAGUUUAUCCAAUGUGGUGUGCGAGACUCUAACCACUUAUUUUGCUGGAUUAAAUGUAUCCUGAUUUCAUCUCUGGCAAAUGAAAGGCACAUUCCCUAUGGCUUGUUCAGGGCACUUUUUUUACUGGUGGAGCAGAGAACUGUACACACUGGAAUGCAGGUAUUCCCUCGGAGCAGAGAAGUGGUUUCCCACCCAGUUACUGGAGUCAGCUUGAGGGAGGGAACAGGCAGUGCUGGGUCAGUCUCCCCUGGCAGGCACAGCCAGUCUCUAACAAGCAGCAGACCUCUAUUAUUUUGAAGAAAUCCACAUCUGUCUUGCUGACAGUGUAGGGGAAGUUACUCACCACUGUAGUGGCAUCAGAGGACACCUUCAGCAAGGUUUUUUGUUAACUUUUCGAAAGAAACUGCACGCUUUGGAAUUUGUUGGUUUCUGGAAAGGAUUUCUAGAAGGAAUCCUUUUCAGGAGUCCUGAAACAGCCUAAGAAAGAUUGUUUCUCUGAUCUUCUGACCCAGGAAAGACCCAACAGAAAUCUGCUCUGAUGGGAAUCAUGGGCUAAGCAGUCUGGAUAUAUUUUGAUCUGAGCUCUCAGAAGAAACAAAUCUCUUUGGAACUUGCAAAGGAAGGUACAUCCCACAGAGCUAAUGCUAUGUGCACUGCUUGUAGAAAGAUUACAUUAUAUGAAUGAGUUUGAUAGGAGUCACCAUGGUGAAGAAAGGAUAAUGGAAUUUCAGUAAAUGAGAAGUAACCUCUGUGAAGUCCAAUCAGAGGGAAUUUCAGCUCUUUGUAUUGUCUGCAGUCUUGUACACGGGAGCUGUGCAAGUGGACUAAAUUCAGUACAGAGCAUUAAACACUAUCUCUUUUGUAAUUAACGUCAGAGAGCUCUGUGAAGUCUUGAAGCUAUGAUAUCCUGUAAGUCCUGUAGAAAAUAUUUCUUUAUACAGAUCUUAAAUGUUAUUCAAAGGAAUUCACCCAAAAAGAUGGAGAACUGCUGGGACAUGAAGAACAUAAAGCUCUAAGACUGUAUGUUGGAGAAAAGUUCCCCCAGAAGCGUGUGUUUAGACACCUUUGGUGACACGUGCUGCCUUGCCUGCCAUCCCUGCAAGUGUGGCCUCACUUUCACUGUUAUUGCAACAUGUGUCAAGUGAAAUGAAAACAGAAAUUUGGGAAAGGAUAUAAUUAACCUACUUGUAAACGUUAACCUUAAAUAUCUACCUAAUUAUCUCACUAAUUUAAUCACUGCAGAUCUCAAACUUGUUUGUUAAAUAUUUAAUUCUGCAAAUUGUUUUUGAUACAGAGGUGUGGAUAGCUUUCUGUGAAUGUAAGUUCCUACGUAAAACUCUUUGUAAAAAAUCAUUGUUAUGUUCUCACGUCACUGAACAAACCCUGCUGUCAACAAGACUUUUAAUGGAAAUCACAAGCAACUGUGCCCUAAGGCUAAGAGAUAUAGUGCCCUAUUAUUUUAAAAUGUAAUGAACACAUUGUGCAGAGAGUAGACCAGGAUAAAUUUCUUCCUCAACAUCUUCGGGUUUGGUUCCAUGGGAGUCUAGAGUGGAAAGUUCUGGGUUUCCUUGUUUCUUUGGUUGCAGCUCAGCUGUACAGUUGUUUCUUACCUAUUCACCUCUUUAUUACUGAAGUGACUCAGCAAAAUGCUGUCCUUGAUCUUCAGCCCUUUUUAUCAAGUCACUACCAUGUGCUAAAGGUAAUCUAAAAGGUGUUUAGAUGCUGCAGUUACCAUGCCACUCAAAGUGGCUCUAAUUAUUCCUGAGAGGAAAGUUUUGAAUUUGGAAAUGUUUGUUGAGCGGAUGAAAGCUCCGUGUUCGUUCCUUCCUCCCUGGUGGGAAGAGGGCUGUGCUCACACUGCCUUCUGUGAACACACAUGAGGCCCAGCUGAGCACUGCAAGGAGGGCCAUGGGGAUGCCUCCAGCUGCUGGGGCUGGGAGAGGAGACUGCCAGGCUGUGGGUGCUGAGGAAAAUCCCGGAUGGAGCGGACAGCUAAGCCAGGACAAGCUCUAGAGGCACCUGGAUCCUCUGUCCCAUGAGAAGGUAGGGGUUCUCAGCUGUGCAGUACCUCCCCUCCCUCUGUCCCUCUCCAGGGGCUUCAGCCAGCCCCGCAUUUCAGGCUGUACCCACAUGGCAGUUCUGCCAUGCUGUUUUCUUCAUUUUUGUUAUAUGUCUCCUUAAUUGAGGAAGAAGGUGAAAGAUUGGGACCGACAUUGUGUCAGCACGGUAGUCCUUACUAUCAGAAGAAGGUGCAAAGCUGUGCUAAAUCCGGGUGAUGGCUCACAGCAGAUCUCUGACAGGAGCCGUUUGAUUAGUUAGAUGUCCAUAUAAAUACCUGUUUGCACUAUAUUACCACCUUAUCAUAUAUUAUUUGGAAUUUCAUCUUGAUUUUCUAUAUUUAUUACACACAAUUCAUACAUUUAUUUAUUACAUAAAAUUAAUAUAUUUAUUACACACAAUUCAUUUAUUACACACAAUUCAUUUAUUAUAUGCACAAUUCAUACUAUUUAGUUCAAUAAGAAAGAAAUUUCUUUGAAUUUGGUUGAAUAAAGCUGUGUUUGCUCUUGUUAGUUAUCCCAAGUCUUGUUCUUUCUAUGCAUUAUCUCAAUUUCUGGGCAUUUUUCCCCUUCAUUUACUCCAAAAAUUACUUCAGUACUAAUGAAAACUGAAAGACAGCCAAGACAGGGUGAACUUUUGGACAAUUUAUGCAAACAUGACAGAUGAGAAUAGAUUUACUAUAAACAUGCCAGGCACAAAAGACUUGACUGCUUUUUAAAUACAGUAAUAUUGGAAGAGAUUUAUGGAUAUUUUCAACUGUUCAUUAAAGAGAAAAAUAUUUUGAAACUAUAGGCACUAUCCUUUUAUCCAUUUUUGCCUUCCAGGCUGAGUUGCAAACCUUUGAUGUUUUCUUCACCAAAAAAUAAAAGUAGUUAUGAAUUUAUUUCUC